AGAGUUUGAUCAUGGCUCAGAGCGAACGCUGGCGGCAGGCUUAACACAUGCAAGUCGAGCGGGCGUAGCAAUACGUCAGCGGCAGACGGGUGAGUAACGCGUGGGAACAUACCUUUUGGUUCGGAACAACACAGGGAAACUUGUGCUAAUACCGGAUAAGCCCUUACGGGGAAAGAUUUAUCGCCGAAAGAUUGGCCCGCGUCUGAUUAGCUAGUUGGUGAGGUAAUGGCUCACCAAGGCGACGAUCAGUAGCUGGUCUGAGAGGAUGAUCAGCCACAUUGGGACUGAGACACGGCCCAAACUCCUACGGGAGGCAGCAGUGGGGAAUAUUGGACAAUGGGCGCAAGCCUGAUCCAGCCAUGCCGCGUGAGUGAUGAAGGCCCUAGGGUUGUAAAGCUCUUUUGUGCGGGAAGAUAAUGACGGUACCGCAAGAAUAAGCCCCGGCUAACUUCGUGCCAGCAGCGGCGGUAAUUC
rnacentral:rRNA from 1 species